AUUUGAUGAUGUGGACGUAACUCCCCAAAUCAUUCCCAAGCUUCAAAAAAUUCUUCCGUAUGUUUUUGUCUAAAAGUUGGUAUCUUGUUUCUUAACU